rnacentral:sRNA from 1 species
CUGAUUUGGGCGCUAUAUUAAGUGAUCAUGACUACUAUCUAUACGUUACAAGAUAUCCACCUGUAAGUGUAAAGGAUAUAAAAAGGGUCUUGUUUCCCUCCUCCUUUAGAUCGAAUUUGGACAAAUGAGGAUCCUUAGCUCUUCAUUCUUAGAUAUAUAGGUCUCUAUAUUAUAUAGAUCUUUUUCUGCUCCCUAAAGACCUCGCUUGUCGUUUAGCUUGGGAAAGAAAAAACCCAGCGUUAUGGGAUGAGCGGUUGGGAUGAACAAGUAGUGGUAAUGAAAUUACACACUAGAGAUAAUCAUCUAAUGACUAAAAAGCGGCCGAAAAAUGACAAAGUGCUUACGUGUAUGAGGCAUCUCUGCCCCGCUUCCGUCGAGAAAGAAAAAAAAAGGAUAAAGAACAGACGAGCUAAUGACCAGUGGUGGCUAGCAAUUAAUGAAAGGUGAAAAUGAAAGGUGACCUGGUGCCUGUGGUGACUAGCCUUUUGGAUCUCGGAUCCUUGUUCUAGCGCCGGUUUCGGUUUUUUGGAUUGUUUCUUCACACAUUCACAGCGUCGCCCUGACCUAAAUGGUGGGUUUUCCGUACCCCGAAGUGCCAAAAAAGCCGCUUUUUUCCUGUCUUCUGUCCUUUUUUUGCCGUUGCAUGCUGCGUGCAGGGCGAUACUGGCGUGAAGGGAAGAUGGCAGGGAUGCUUUUUUUUUGGUUCUCCGUUAAUUGCGCAGAACUUAGUAGAAGCUGUAGCGUCUUCUGUCACCGUUUACUUGCGACAAGAGAUAAGAGGUAUGAGCAGUGAGACAUGCGAUGAUGGAUUUUUACUUUUGAUCGUGCAUGUCGGCGGCGGGGCGUUACGUUCUUGUGAUGUAGUGUGUUUGCUGAUGCGUCAUGUUAUGUUUGUAACAAACAAUCGACAGUUGGCUAGUGGUGUACUUCUUUGGUCGCUGCGUGAUGAUGUCUCAUCAUCAACCUUUGGGUCGUGGCGUUGAAUGUGCGGAGAGUAGGAGAGAGGAUUGAUUAUAAGACCGCAUGACCGAGGGAAUGGGGAGAAACAUGUGCACCUCACUUUGGUAGUACAGGAUUGAUGAAAGGCCGGUUGCAGGAUGCUGCGGAGGAAGGGCAAUUCGAUUACAUUAGAAAGGAAGAGAAGGAAGGAAGCAAGAAGGACAAUUAAUUGACGGGUAUGGCGAUGGAACCUGGUAACUGAUU